AAUAAACGCCACUCCCCCUUUUCUACAGAAUGCCAUAAAUCCACUCCACAGAUUGCAGCGCACCAUUCACGCAAUGUAAACAAACAAUGGCGGCGCGCUGAGUACACGGAAUCCUAGUUUUCCUCAUCUACUAUGUACUUCCUGAUCAGCAAACAAACAAAAACAAAAUAAUACUUUAAUGGCAUUGAUAAACCUGUGAUGGUUUUCUGUGACGGGAAAGAAACGUAAGCCAUCAACAUCUAAUAAUUUUCGCAAGAGACGGGUGCUUGUUUGCCCGGGCCGACAGCAUCAAGUUUCUGUCAUGAUAGCACAUUGACCCCAGGGGAUCUUAUGAAAAACUUUCCAUAAUUUUACUCAAAGUCAAUGAAAAUCGAGCAGGACCAAAACAUUUUACAGCUGAUCGCUGUGAAAAACGUUAAGCCACGACGUCAAGUAUAACCGCAGCAAUGACAGUGUUCUUAAUAUGACAAAUUUAGAGAUUUUGCGUCUGACGUCAUCCGUGUUCACGUAAGCUGCUCGUGUUGAGUUCUUCUUCUCAAGAUGACGGAUCGGUCGCUUCAUGGGGUGCUAUUUCAAAUAAGAUGAUAGACUGGGAGUGCAGGGUGUAAAAAGAUUCAUCGUUCAAGACUCCACCUCAGACACCACAGACUAGAACAUAGACACUGCUCAAAAAUAAGUCCACUUCCAUCUUCUGAAGAUUCUGAAGUGCACAUUGAGAAAGGGCCACUGGAGCAAUAUACGGUUGUGCCUUACAGCUCUAAUGGCCAAAUGCAUAGUGACCCAGUGAAUGUCUCUGUUGUUCUUGAGGACGAAUUGGUCACCACCCACAACCAACUUCCAGAGGCCUUUCUUGUCCUGUUUGGAUUCCUGUAUGCUUUUCACAUACAUAUUCCUAAAGGACUUGCAAAAACAUUUGUAUUUGUGCAAAAAACUUUUGCUUGGCAUGGAAGAUAGGAAACUGUCUCCUAGCCUGCAAACCUUAAAGAAUGAGUUGAUGUGAAGCAUAACUUGUACUACCUCAGCACACACAAAAGACAAAAAGAGUUACUUAAAUGUUAUCUAACUGAUGUUACUUUGAUUUUUUUACUUGUAUCUACUUAGUUCUUAUUGACAAGUUAUGGUAAUAACAAACCGGUUCAGUUUAUAAAAAAAUGUCAUUUUUAAUGCAACUGUGUGGUCAGUGGUGUAGUCUACGUGAUACGCAGGACUACGCCGUAUACCCACUAGAAAUUGUCAAGGAUUUCCGUAUACCCACUAAAAAUAGCGCGAGGAUGCGUAACAGCAUGGUUUUGUGACAUUUUUAAACUUUUAGUCAUAAUAUACAUGUGAAGCACUGACCAUUAGCAUGCUACACUUGCUACUUUAGCGGGUUGGUUGAAAUACAUAAUAGGCUAUAUACUUCCUGUCGAACUGCGCGAUCCGAUCGGCGUAUUAAUUUCUAUGAAAUCAAAUUACUAUAGUGACGCGAAAGUGACUGGGGAGCAGUCUGGUGUUGCGCCACAAGCGAGUGAUAGCAAAGUACCGCGAGAGAGACCCAGUUAUCACAUGGAGAAAUCUGCUUUGAAUCGCUCUCACAUUACUUUGACAUCACCAAGAGGUCUGCUUUACGCCAAAUGAAGUCGAACAUGGAGUGUAGCUGCUCACGCGACACUGUAAACAACAUACAGUCCAUGUGGAGAAGUGAACAAGUGAAGCAGUGCUGCAACAUAAAAUCCAUAGAGUUUACAACGCACAUGUGAGUAAACAACAUUUAAAUCAUCAGUCCAGUUUAUUACUUUAUCUGGAGGUAUGGCUCCAAAUGCAAUAAAAUAAGCCCGUGAUUAUAUCCUGAUGGUUUUUAGCUGCCAUCAGUUGCUCUGCAUGUUUGCUUGUGCUUCACAGUGUUAAACUUCCCUUCGAUGUGUUCAUUUAUAUAUCUACGUUCAAGAUGUAUAUGAUCUUAAACUUCUGUGAGGAAAUUCAUGUCUGCGUUGAUGUUCAGUUCAGACUUGCAAAUAUUAGGCUAGAUGGUCUUGUAAUAAUAAUUAAGUAUAAGCCUAUUUUCAGUUUUAGACAAUGCUUAUAUUAUAUGCAAAAAUAAGCUUUUAUAUCAAUGACUAUGCAAAUAAGAGUUAAUUCAUGGUCAUCUUAAAUGUGUAUUAAUUAAAAACAUUUACACCAUUAUAUUACACAUGGUAAUGUUAUCAAUAGUUGUCAGAUAAUAGCUAUUGAAGGAGUGGAUAUUUUUUUCACCUUCAAUGCAUGUGUUUGCCACGGAUUGAAGAUUGUAAACAGUUAAUUUAAUUUUAAUUAACAGUUAAGUAACUUUUGUCCCUGAGUUAGAUGUUGAUUAACACUAAACCAGUCUAAAAAUCAGUCCAGUUUCCCCAGCUGUAAACCCAUUGGCUGUUAAAGUCUUUUUUUUCUUAUAAUAAACUGACAUGUUGAUAACACUUUCAGUUUAUGUGUUCAUGAGUACACUUUCAGAAUGCUCUUAGUUACAUGAAGAUCCAUACUGUAUGCAUCUGUGAGUGUUGUGGUACUUAUGAGGUGUCGCGCUGGGACGAGUGAGCAUAAGGAUGAGAGGGAAAAAUCACAGUAUACUCACUACAAAAAUCUAGACUACACCACUGUGUGUGGUGUUAAUAUAUGAAGUUGGCUGUUAAGCAUUCCUUGCUCAUUUCUCAUUUUAUACAAUACUGUUAAACAGUUUGAGCCUGUUAAAAGAUAUGUUGUGUUGCUAAGAGAAUUUAAUUUCUGACUGGAAAAUAUUAAAUGCUGUUAAACAGUUAUGUUACCUUGAACCCAUUAAAAGGGUAACUUUACUUAUGUGGGUUGCUAAACAGACUUUAAUUUUUGACUGCAGAUUGUAUCACAUUUGUAAAUUUAAGAGAGAUGUUUAAUUCAACUGUCUCAUGCUAGUUUAAAUGUAUGAAAUUUGCUGUGGAGCAAUCCUUUUGUGAAAUAAAUUGCCAACAUUUUAUUA